CGAGUGAAGCGGGAAAAGCUCAAAUUUAAAAUCUGGUGGUCUUUGGCCAUCCGAGUUGUAAUCUAGAGAAGUGUUACCCGCGUUGGACCGUGUACAAGUCUCCUGGAAUGGAGCGUCAUAGAGGGUGAGAAUCCCGUCUUUGACACGGACUACCAAGGCUUUGUGGUGCGCUCUCAACGAGUCGAGUUGUUUGGGAAUGCAGCUCAAAAUGGGUGGUAAAUUCCAUCUAAAGCUAAAUAUAGGCGAGAGACCGAUAGCGAACAAGUACCGUGAGGGAAAGAUGAAAAGAACUUUGGAAAGAGAGUUAAACAGUACGUGAAAUUGCUGAAAGGGAAACGCUGGAAGUCAGUCGCGUUGGCUAGGAAUCAACCUUACUCUUUUGUAGGGCUUACUUUCUAGUUGACGGGCCAACAUCAAUUUUGAUUGCUGGAAAAGGGCCUAGGGAAUGUGGCACCUUCGGGUGUGUUAUAGCCUUGGGUCGUAUACAGUGGUUGGGAUUGAGGAACGCAGCACGCCGAAAGGUUGGGUCUUUGACCACACUCGUGCUUCGGAUGUUGGCAUAAUGGCUUUCAUCGACCCGUCUUGAAACACGGACCAAGGAGUCUAACAUGCCUGCGAGUGUUUGAGUGGAAAACUCGAGCGCACAAUGAAAGUAAUAGUUGAGAUCUCUGUCAUGGAGAGCAUCGACGCCCGGACCUGAUGUAUACUGACGGUUCUGCGGUAGAGCAUGUAUGUUGGGACCCGAAAGAUGGUGAACUAUGCCUGAAUAGGGUGAAGCCAGAGGAAACUC
rnacentral:rRNA from 1 species